rnacentral:rRNA from 1 species
AUGCACUUGCCUUUGUGGAUAACCAGGAGUACAGGCGCCUGCGCUUUAAGAGAACAGGAACAACGCAAGUCCUCCCUACACCUCCUCUCCAAUUCUGCCCAAGUGCAUCCUACUUUCUCCCUGCUUGCUUAUAGUUUUUUCUUACUUUUACUGCUUGACGUUCUUAAAUUAUAUUCAGUUGUAGUUACGAUAGUUGAUUGUUUGCUAGACCUUUGUGUCGUAAUACGGAUUGAUUGUGUUAAAUCUUACCGACAAAAAGACUAUUCCUCUUUUCAUUACAUGGAAGAACAUAUGUGUGAGAUGAGAGAGGCAACUGAUGUGGUUCUUUAUCAUGUUGCUACCAUCGCAAGCACUUGUUAA